rnacentral:lncRNA from 1 species
AAACCCACCACCCACCUUCAUAAUCACCAUCAGUAACAUCAUCUUGUAUCAUCGUCAUCAUCAUCGACGGAAAACCUCAGCACCGCCGUCACCGGAGACACUGGAAAUCGAAGUCAUAAAACGAGAUUACUCGAACAGUUAUCGCAGAUUGAAGGUGGUAGUGGUGGGUUUACGGUGGAGGUGGAGGAGAUGGGGUAUACGGUGGAGGUAGAGGCGGUGGGUCGAAGGUGACGACGGAGGUGGUGGGUUGAAGGUGACGGCGGUGGUGGUGGGUUUAUGGUGGAGAUGGAGGCGGUGGGUUGAAGGUGUCGAUGGAGGUGGAGAUGGCGGUGGUGCUAAAACAAGAUUCGAUCUAAUCCAAUCACCAUCUCCUAUUUGUUUUCUGUUUUUGCUUCAACAUUCAUCCUUCUCAAGUUUGCCAUCGUUAAGUUCUGAUGGGCUAGGAUCAAAUUUUGGCGGAUCAUAGGGCUUUGGAGAUGGAGCUAGAUACCAGAUGUGAUAGUCAAGGGUGUAACUCGAAGCUGAUCGGAAAGACUGAUUUUACUAAUAGUGUUUCUGGUGCGUUUAGUGCUAUUUAGAAAGGAAUCUUUGUAAGUUAUUCAGCAGGGAAUGUUGGUCCAGUGAACUCAUCAUUGUCAAAUGAGGCACCAUGGAUUCUCGCUGUCGGUGCUAGCACCGUCGAAAGAAACAUAAGAGCAACUGUUCGGGUCGAAACAGGUUAGGGUCGGAAUGGGUUCGGGUCAGAACGUGUUCGGGUCAGAACGGGUUCGGGUCGGAACGGCUAAGGGUCGGAACAGGUUAGGGUCGAACCGGUUAUGGUCAGAACAGGUUUCAGGUCACAUGCACAGAAGUUAUACAAGAGGCACAGCUAAACUAUCCUUCAUUCGCAAUUACUUUAGGACAUGGUGAUAUUAAAAAUUUUACAAGGACAGUGACUAAUGUUGUUGGUGAAGCAAAUUCAACUUACAGAAUACAGGAUUAUAGGAACAACAUGCAUUAUACAGUAAGGCCAUCCGUAGUCAUAAAGCCCCUUGUGGGGCGUUAUGCGACACGUGUCGUGCCACGUCACACGGGGCUUUAUGGGGCGUUAUAUCACUAGAGCCCCGUAGUCAUAAAGCCCCUACCCAUCAUUACCUAUUUAAUAAUUUUCAACUUUAUUAAUUAAUAUAAAAAAAAUUGCUUGUUUCUGAUUGGUGGAAUUUUGGAAAGGAACAAGAGUAACGGCGCCAUCACCAUCGCGCCUCCUCCAUUUUUUCCAGCGAUGGCGCCCUCCGUGGCGGUGUGCCGGCGCUAUGCCGGCGCGAAGAGGCAUACCGCCCCAUGCCAUGCCGCCCACUACACAUCCCCUAAACAUACGGCAAGUAUUAUUAACAGCAGCAAAAUCGGAAUCAUUAGCAGCAACAAUAAUCAGAAUCAUUAACAUCAGAAUCCGAUUAAAACAAGAACGCCAAGAAUAAUCGGAAUCAUUAACAUCAGAAUUAGAUUAAAACAAGAACAACAACAAUAAUCGGAAUCAUUAACAUCAGAAUCAUAAUAAAACAAGACACGCAACAAUAAUCAGAAUCAUUAACAUCAGAAUCAGAUUAAACUUUCUUUACACACGAAUUAGGGCUAUUUAUAAUGAGCCGAUCCAAAACAUAUGCUCCCAGAUCAAAAUUCAUAACAAAAUUCGAAUUGAAUGAUGGCUACUAACCUCUCCAUUCAAGUGGACGAGUGAAUGAUAGCAAAUGAGGGUUUCUUGAGUCGAGGUUUCUGUUGUUGUAGAAGAGGCAGAAUCGCUCUGCUGGGAAAAAUAUAUAACCACUUUUGCUCAAGAUUCAUCCUUGUUUGGAGGAAACAAAACCGUUUUAGGAGAUCGUGAUCAAUUUGAAAGAGGGAAACUUGUAGGAGCGGGAAAAUCAAAGCGCGGAAGGAUGAGGUUGCCGUUCAGUUUUCUUCAUCUCAAAUAAAGUAUCCACUUUCUUUAUUUUUUUACAUUUAUAUAGCUAAUGUUCUUAUUUUGUAUUUAUAUAUUCUCCUGUAUGAUUUCUUUAAUUUAUAAGAAACUGAGAAUAAAAGGUUGUAUAAAAUUUAUUUUUUGAAGCAAGACGUGAGAAAGCAAAAUAAAAAACUUAUGAAUAUUAAUAACUAGGGUCGUAGUUACCCGAGUGUCACGCAGAACGUAUUGCACACCAUGACAACUAGAAUUGGCAAACCGGUUGGGUCAGGUCGGGUCAUGGGUCAACACGCGUUCGGUCAAAAUGGGUCAAUUAAAAAGGGGGUUGUUUUGGUUUGGGUCAAAACGGGUUCGGGUCGAAACAGGUUAGGGAUGGAACGGGUUCGGGUCAGAACAGGUUUCGGGUCGGAACAGGUUUCGGGUAGGGUUGGUUAAAAAUGUUUUUUAAAGAGAUUGUACAUCAAGGGGCAAUUUUGUUCGAACGGUACUAGUCGAAAUGGUACUGGUCGAAACGGUACGCGUCGAAACGGUACGCGUCGAAACGGUUCGCGUCGAAACGUUCGGUUCGAAAUGUUACUGAACUCACAAAUGGUAUCAGAGCUCGGGAAGCUCUGCGAGUAAUCGUGUUCGAAACGGACAAGUUUCGGUGUAAUCGAAUCUGAUUUCGGUUGAGUUCGGAUUGUUUCGGUUAAUUUUCGAUCGAUUUCGGACUGAUUUCGGUUUAUUUUUGGUUAAAUUGAUUGAUUUUCGGCGCAAUUUUAUGUGCUUCGAACAGUUUAUUUCAGAUUUCAAACUUUUUAUAUCGAUUUCGAACUAAUUCGGUCGACGUUCGGUUUAAUUCGAUUGAUUGAUUUCUGAUGUUACCAUUUGUUAGUUUCGAUUGACUUUUCGAACAUUUGUAACAUUAUAAAUCGAUUUUGAAACUGUUUUAGUGGGUGAAAUUUGUUAAAAAUUCUGUAUAUUGCAGAAAAUCAUAAAAAUGAUGAAAAGAUGAACUUAGAUACGCAUCACGUUUGAUAUAUUUGUGAGUUUAUAUUGCUGUUUCAUAUCCUUUACGACUAAAUUAAGCGCACUCCAUGUCCUUUACGACUUAAUCUCUGUCAUGUGCCACUCAUGUGAGGGGCAAAAUGGUCACUUAAACCCAAACCAACCAUUAAACAGAUCCUAUCUUUAUUAAUAACAAAUGCUUCAACUGUUUAUAAAUAAUAUCAUGGAUUUUAAAAUCACCAAAUAGGAAUGAACAGAAAUGUAAAGAACUAGCUUUUAUUCAAGAACAAGAAAUCGAAAGACGAUACACAAGCAAACUGCUAACAAACCCGACAUGCAUAAAUAAAACUGGAUCUAAUACCUUACAGUAGUGACAUGCUUCAGAAGCAUCCCAACAACAUCGCCUAAAAUUCUUUCAGCCUCGGUUUUCAGGUGUUGGAUCCUAGCAUCUGUUUCUUUCUCGAGACGCUUCAGGUUUGCACCCGAGUCUCCACUAGUCU